CACGCACCAGAAGAGGCAGCCA
rnacentral:siRNA from 1 species